rnacentral:tRNA from 1 species
GGGAUCUUAGCUCAGUUGGGAGAGCACCUGCCUUACAAGCAGGGGGUCGCUGGUUCGAGCCCGGCAGGUCCCA